rnacentral:rRNA from 2 species
UGAGGAAUAUUGGUCAAUGGACGAGAGUCUGAACCAGCCAAGUAGCGUGCAGGAUGACGGCCCUCCGGGUUGUAAACUGCUUUUAGUUGGGAAUAAAAAAGAUGACGUGUCAUCUAUUGUAUGUACCAUCAGAAAAAGGACCGGCUAAUUCCGUGCCAGCAGCCGCGGUAAUACGGAAGGUCCAGGCGUUAUCCGGAUUUAUUGGGUUUAAAGGGAGCGUAGGCGGAGAGAUAAGUCAGCGGUAAAAUCGUGCGGCUCAACCGUACCUCGCCGUUGAUACUGUUUUUCUUGAGUGCACACAGGGAUGCUGGAAUUCGUCGUGUAGCGGUGAAAUGCUUAGAUAUGACGAAGAACUCCGAUCGCGAAGGCAGGUGUCCGGGGUGCAACUGACGCUGAGGCUCGAAAGUGCGGGUAUCAAACAGG